UGCCGAAAUAAACUCAGUUGGGAGAGCGUUAGACCGAAAGAUCUAAAGGUCCCUGGUUAAUCCGGGUUUGGCAG
rnacentral:tRNA from 1 species